rnacentral:rRNA from 1 species
UACGAAGGGUGCAAACGUUGCUCGGAAUCAUUGGGCGUAAAGCGCACGUAGGCGGCCUCGCAAGUCUGAUGUGAAAUCCCUCGGCUCAACCGAGGACGUGCAUCGGAAACUGCGGGGCUUGAGUACUGAAGAGGAUCGCGGAAUUCCCGGUGUAGAGGUGAAAUUCGUAGAUAUCGGGAGGAACACCAGUGGCGAAGGCGGCGAUCUGGGCAGUGACUGACGCUGAGGCGCGAAAGCUAGGGGAGCGAACGGG